AAGACAGUGAAGAUGAAAAGAUUUUCAGCUUUAUAUUUCUUGAUAAGUGUCCUCUUUCUGUGUCUGCAAUUGCAAGCUUAGUGUUGUUAUCACAAUUCAGAAAUUCUCCAGGAAAACAUAAAUGACAACAAACUGGGAAUAGCA